UACAGGGGGGGCAAGCGUUGUUCGGAAUUACUGGGCGUAAAGGGCUCGUAGGCGGCCAACUAAGUCACACGUGAAAUCCCCAGGCUUAACCUGGGAACUGCGUGUGAUACUGGAUGGCUUGAAUUCGGGAGAGGGAUGCAGAAUUCCAGGUGUAGCGGUGAAAUGCGUAGAUAUCUGGAGGAACACCGGUGGCGAAGGCGGCAUCCUGGACCAAUAUUGACGCUGAGGAGCGAAAGCCAGGGGAGCAAACGGG
rnacentral:rRNA from 1 species